UGGCACCUUGUCUGGCACUUUGGGCCUAUGGU
rnacentral:piRNA from 1 species